AUGGUUUUUAACACAGUAUUCUAUUAUUCCUAUACUAUGCUUAGAUAAUGUAUAUAGACACAUCUAUCAACAUGGUGAUGGAGUUUGUCUGUCAGGGCCUGAAAUAACGUUCCCGAAGUUCCCGGUCAUGGUGAUCGGCAGUCAUGACUUUCCCUACUUUUCAGGUUGGAAACCCUGCUUUUCCGCUGAUCAUAAGCAAUUUCUUGAUGAUUAUUGAUUGGUGAUCAGUUGUUAUUUCAAGCCCUGGUUUGUUGAAAAAUUUAACUGGUCUAAGAUGCA